rnacentral:rRNA from 1 species
CGCGAGCAGGUGCGAAAGCAGGUCAUAGUGAUCCGGUGGUUCUGAAUGGAAGGGCCAUCGCUCAACGGAUAAAAGGUACUCCGGGGAUAACAGGCUGAUACCGCCCAAGAGUUCAUAUCGACGGCGGUGUUUGGCACCUCGAUGUCGGCUCAUCACAUCCUGGGGCUGAAGUAGGUCCCAAGGGUAUGGCUGUUCGCCAUUUAAAGUGGUACGCGAGCUGGGUUUAGAACGUCGUGAGACAGUUCGGUCCCUAUCUGCCGUGGGCGCUGGAGAACUGAGGGGGGCUGCUCCUAGUACGAGAGGACCGGAGUGGACGCAUCACUGGUGUUCGGGUUGUCAUGCCAAUGGCACUGCCCGGUAGCUAAAUGCGGAAGAGAUAAGUGCUGAAAGCAUCUAAGCACGAAACUUGCCCCGAGAUGAGUUCUCCCUGACUCCUUGAGAGUCCUGAAGGAACGUUGAAGACGACGACGUUGAUAGGCCGGGUGUGUAAGCGCAGCGAUGCGUUGAGCUAACCGGUACUAAUGAACCGUGAGGCUUAACCUUACAACGCCGAAGCUGUU